GCCUUCGCCACGCCCGCUCAAGAACUACGAAAGGAAUUGACGGGACCCCGCACAAGCGGUGGAUCAUGUUGUUUAAUUCGAUGAUACGCGAGGAACCUUACCAGGUCUUGACAUCCCCCGCGAUGCUUUAGAGAUAAAGCGGAGGUAUUCGGGGAGACAGGUGGUGCAUGGUUGUCGUCAGCUCGUGUCGUGAGAUGUUGGGUUAAGUCCCGCAACGAGCGCAACCCCUAUUGCUAGUUACCAUCAUUAAGUUGGGGACUCUAGCGAGACUGCCAGUGAUAAACUGGAGGAAGGUGGGGAUGACGUCAAAUCAUCAUGCCCCUUAUGACCUGGGCUACAAACGUGAUACAAUGGCUGGAACAAAGGGAUGCGAAGCAGUGAUGUGGAGCGAAACCCAUAAAAACAGUCUCAGUUCGGAUUGAAGUCUGCAACUCGACUUCAUGAAGUCGGAAUCGCUAGUAAUCGCGGAUCAGAACGCCGCGGUGAAUACGUUCUCGGGGUUU
rnacentral:rRNA from 1 species